rnacentral:lncRNA from 1 species
CCAAGAACAAAUCCUGGCUCCGUCCCUGACUGUCAAGGCUAUGUGAUGUACUGAUGUUUGUCAAGAGAUCAGAGGGACAGUUUUGUCUACUUUGCCUCCUGUGAAAAUCUAUCUUAGCGCUCCUUUGAGCCAUCCAAUUAAAAGGAGAUUGUAAAAAUGCAAGGCUAGCUAAGCUACCUCAUUCAUGUCUUGACUAAUGGAAAAAUCAUAUCCUUGUAAUUGGCCACCUUUUUCCAUAUCAAUUAACUAAAAAUCAUCUGUUAAUAACCAAAUUAACUUCCAAGAAGAAGGUGGACGAGUUAUUUAAUUUGUUGACUUGACAGUGUGUUUCUUUCUGGGUGGCGUUGAGUAGUCUUAGCUUCAAGAGAGAAAGAAAGAUGAGCAUUAUAUAUAUAGCUUCAAAUGUGUUUACAAUCUCCCCAUACAGGAGAAUUGAUCAUUGAAUAGUAAAUAAAAGAAUGCACUCGAACACCACCAAAUCCUAAUAAGACACACUAACGGCUGAACAUAGAUGAUAUACAUUUGAAAACUAGAUUAUCUUCCAAUCAUAAUGACAAUAUCAGCAAUAAGUACUAAGUUUUAGUUUCACUCGAUCGGAACACAAUAUCAAAAGUAAAACUCCAAACCAACCAAAAUGCAAAAAAUUGAUCAUUUUUAAUGCCUUGGGCUUUCAUUGUCCCUGACUUGGAAAAAAUAUUGACCCCAAAAAUCAAGCCUAAUAUGCUAAAUGAUUGGAAAGAAAAUCAAAAUCUCCAAAUUUCAGCAAUAAAUACUCAGUUAGACAUUUCUUCAAACACCUUCACCCCAAGUUAUAAACAUGAAGACAAUUGUAUACACAAGGGCGGAGCAAGGAUUUUUUUCCGCCCUGGGCUACCAAGAGAUAGAUCAAAGAGGACCUUUGCAGAACAAAUAGCUUAGGUUAUCUUCUAAUAACCUAGAACAUUGGCUAAUUCUCAAUUUUACACAUUUUAACUUCUUUGAGAUAAAUUCUCAAACACCAUGUUAGAUUCCAGAAUUUCAUAAGACUAUAGGGUUCUAACCAAAAAAAUUCAAAUUGAAAAUUCCCAAAACCUAAAAAUUCAGAAAUUACAGUUAAAUACUGAAAUAGUUGCACCAUACUAAUAUCAUCAACUAAAUUACAGUUGUCCUUAUUCAAAUUGAAAAUUUCCAAAACCUAAAAUCCACCACAACCUAUCAAAAAGUUCAAUUAGUUUGUCAAAACCCAAAUCAAACAACAAGUACCAUCAACACUGCUAUAUAUAUAUAAUGCCAUCAAAAAAUUAAAACAAAGAAAAUCACAAACUAAAAUCCCAAAUCAGAUCAAGAAAAAAAAUUAAAUAGCAAAAAUUAAUAAUCAAGAAUCUAAUUGUAAAAGAUAUAAAACAAACAAAAAGUACCAGCUUCCAGCUUGCAGUUUUUUGGGCUCGUGUCAAAUUCAAUGUUUAACUAUUUCACAUUCAUCUACAACCAAAGAAAAGUAUCUAAAAAUACAAGUACCUAAGAUUCUUUUAAACCAUGUGCUUUAACUACAAGGACAGCACUAACCUAAGUGUUGCAGACGGCAUACCUCUUCUCCUCCAGCAAUCUGCACAGCUCAAGGAGCUUCAGAACUCAGAGCAGAGGCAGUCAGCAGAGGCGGAUUGGCGGAAGGGGAAAAAAAGGGGGGCAGCUUCAGACUUCAGAACAGAGAGGCAGUUUGGGCGAUUUUGAAGAGGGGUUAGGGUUUUUUUAUUUUAAUCUUACAUGAAACGACGUCGUUUCAUGUAAGAUUAAAAAAAAAAAAAAACUAGCUGCUGCUGUGCUGCAGAAGAAGAAAGGAAGAAGAAGGUGGGCGACUGCAGAAGAACUGAAGAAGAAAACUGUGCUGCAAAAAAACUCACCUGGGCUACAGCCCAUACGUGG